AAAGUCGUAACAAGGUCUCCGUUGGUGAACCAGCGGAGGGAUCAUUACCAGAGUGCCUUUAGGCUCUCCAACCCAUUGUGAACAUACCUACGUUUCCCUCGGCGGGUCAAGCGCGCUGGGCCUCCGGGCUCUUCGCGUCCGCCGGGGGCACCCAAACUCGAAUUUACAGUGUAUCUCUGAGGGGCGAAAGCCCGUAAAACAAAUAAAUCAAAACUUUCAACAACGGAUCUCUUGGCUCUG
rnacentral:misc_RNA from 1 species